rnacentral:rRNA from 1 species
GACGAACGCUGGCGGCGUGCCUAAUACAUGCAAGUUGAGCGCUGAAGGUUGGUACUUGUACCCACUGGAUGAGCAGCGAACGGGUGAGUAACGCGUGGGGAAUCUGCCUUUGAGCGGGGGACAACAUUUGGAAACGAAUGCUAAUACCGCAUAAAAACUUUAAACACAAGUUUUAAGUUUGAAAGAUGCAAUUGCAUCACUCAAAGAUGAUCCCGCGUUGUAUUAGCUAGUUGGUGAGGUAAAGGCUCACCAAGGCGAUGAUACAUAGCCGACCUGAGAGGGUGAUCGGGCACAUUGGGACUGAGACACGGCCCAAACUCCUACGGGAGGCAGCAGUAGGGAAUCUUCGGAAAUGGAGGAAAGUCUGACCGAGCAACGCCGCGUGAGUGAAGAAGGUUUUCGGAUCGUAAAACUCUGUUGGUAGAGAAGAACGUUGGUGAGAGUGGAAAGCUCAUCAAGUGACGGUAACUACCCAGAAAGGGACGGCUAACUACGUG